AAUCGAUUUGAGAAUCAUAAAUCUUUCUUUUAGCUUUUCUCUUCGUUUCCUCUCAACUAAUAUAUGGUUUGCACUAAUAUCAUCUGCCUCUGGUCUCCAAACUCCAAUUUUAUUGCUGUUGUCUCCUGAGGAAUCUGGCAAGGCACUGACAUUCAUCCAAGGAACUUCAAAUAGAAUCUUCUUCAAUAGUUUCUGUGAGGGUGCACCUUUUGAUUUCUGAUAAUGCACUUUCUUCCAACUUACAAAGCUUGAUACCUUGUUACAAUUUUGAAAAUGCGGUCCUAGAAUUAAUGGAUGGGAGGU
rnacentral:misc_RNA from 1 species